rnacentral:lncRNA from 1 species
AUAUACUAAUAUAAAAGCAGAGUUUUCUGCAGCAGCCAUUUCCCGCCAAUCAGCCCAGCCUUUAGCCCAAUGGAUUUUGCUUGAUUAUCGUGCACUGGAUUAAGAGAGGGUCUGCAUUUUGGCUCCAACAUCAGCACGAUUUUGAAUUUGAAAUUUGGAGCCCAAAUUUCAGCAGCCAUUUCCCGCCAAUCAGCCCAAUGGAUUUUGCUUGAUUAUCGUGCACUGGAUUAAGAGAGGGUCUGCAUUUUGGCUCCAACAUCAGCACGAUUUUGAAUUUGAAAUUUGGAGCCCAAAUUUCUUUUCAGCCAACUGUUUUCGAAAUUCUAUAAAUACCACUUCAUUAUCUUCUAAUUCUUCACACUUAACUUCUGGGAUUUAACAUUUGUAAUAUUUCUCAUCCUUCUUUUUUCCAAAAAAAUUAUCUGAUUUCGCACUUGCAAUAUUCUUUUGUCUUCUUCGAAAAUUUCUUAUAUGUUUCCUUUUGAAUCAUUUCUCUAAUUGCUGCAGAGAGCCUUUCCAUGGAAAGAGUUAUUCCACUUAUA